rnacentral:lncRNA from 1 species
UUAGCCUGAGGAUAGCUCAGAGCCCAGCAAGGAGGGCUGGGAUUCACACUGAGCACGUGUGUCUCCCUCGGCUUGGGCUAUUUUCUAGGAUGGACUACCUGAAAUUCAUCACGUCCACAUCCAUAUGUGUGAAACUGCAUGAGGAGGACAUGGAAUGAUGCCACAUAUCUUGCUACAAAUAUGUAUAAACAGUUGCUAACCCACAGACUCCAAAAGCAAUAUCACCUGCGGAAGAGGAUUUCAUCCACAAGCCUGGGACACACAUCAACCUGAAUGGGCAGUCCAGCCCUAAGCUGCUAACCAGUGAGGGAGACAUCUGCCCACUUAAAAACUUCUGUCGCAGUGGUAGGAGAGAAACAAAAGACAAGAUCUAGACAGGAAAUCUGGGCAACAGAAGACAGAGCCUCAGCUAAAAAGGCUCAGCUGUGUCAGAUUGAAGUUACUUAUUUGGGAUACACCCUUCGAGAUGGGAAGCAGUGGCUAAAGAAAGCCAGAAAAAAGACUGUAACUCAGAUCCCCACCCCAACUACACCAAGAGCUUUUUCUUGACUGAACGAGUGACCUUCGCUCCACCUGCUGUCCUCAAUCUCGCUACCCUACUGCCCAAGACUUCACCUACUCAUCACUGCGCUGACAUUCUGGCAGAAGAAACUGGUACUUGAAAUGAUCUAAAGGAGCAGAUCAGCCUUGGCCUGAGAGUUCGAGCUGGUACACGGAUGGCAGUAGCCUUGCAGUUGAAGGACUGAGAUGGCAAAUGUGAUAGCCAAGAAGAUCCUAAAAGAAAUCUUCCUAAGGUCAGUCAUACUUGGAUACAGGGUGAACUAUCUCUUAACUUCAUGGAAAUGUCUGUGAGGUCUGCAAGGACUGUGGGUCUUCUCUAAAAAUGUUCUGCAACUUUGGGAAGUCACCUGCUCUCUUGUCUUGGAGGCUACCAAGAGUCCACUCUACAAAGAGGAGGGCAACAUAGAGGAAAAUAUUCUUCAGUGCUUCAAGGGGAAGCCCCAUCCAGCCCCAGCAAGGCCUUUGACUUAUCUCACAGAGACAGGCAAUGAAUAAAGGCAGGCUCCAAGAGUAAGAGAUUCCUCCCAAGCCCAAGUGACUCCUGUAAAUGUAACUGAUUUUAGCAGGACAAAAACAAGCAAUAAUUUUGGCUACCUGCUUGAUCUUAAACACCCAACAGUAAACAUAAAAUUAAAUAAAAUUAAAAUAAAAACAGUAAACAUUAAAAUGUAAACAUUAAAA